rnacentral:rRNA from 1 species
UAGGGAAUAUUAGUAAUGGGCGAAAGCCUGAACUAGCAACGCCGCGUGUGCGAAGAAGGCCUUCGGGUUGUAAAGCACUUUUUGAGAGGAUGAGGAAGGACGGUACUCUCAGAAUAAGUCUCGGCUAACUACGUGCCAGCAGCCGCGGUAACACGUAGGAGGCGAACGUUAUCCGGAUUUACUGGGCGUAAAGCGCGUGUAGGUGGUUUGGUAAGUAGGGCGUGAAAGCUCCUGGCUCAACUGGGAGAGGCCGUUCUAAACUGCCGAACUAGAGGAUGGUAGAGGGAGGUGGAAGUCCGGGUGUAGCGGUGGAAUGCGCAGAUAUCCGGAGGAACACCAGUGGCGAAAGCGGCCUCCUGGACCAUUCCUGACACUCAGACGCGAAAGC